AGCGAGUCUGGUUUGUAGACACAAGACUUAUGAUAUAAUAACGAAAUAAUUAAUUCAGUGCUACAAGGCUAAUACAAGUAAGUGAGUGUUCCGUCUUUAAGCAUUGUCAAUGAAAUGCUUAAUGCGUUUGGGGUUGGAGCAGAAGUAUCAACCUCGUUUGAUUUGGCGAUUUUGUAACCGGUCGACGCGGAUGUUUUGAAAACGAAAACAGCAAAAGUUUCGAUGUUGGAGAUCGGGGCGUAAGAAAGAAGCCCAUUUGGUGAUCCACGAAUGACACUGCAGGAAAAGCAUGGAAAACAUGCGCCAUGUUGUUGAGACACAACGUUGGAUUGUAAACUUCCUUCCACCUUCAACGAACAUAAGACUAAGAUCCAACACAAGAUUGGUGCGAACUAAGUUAAAAGUCAUAUUUAUAAAUGAUGCAUUCUUCGAACAGGGUAAAUUCACACACUCGAAAAGACUGAAAUAAAUUGCCAAGACUUAAUUAUAUCAGCCUCAUUAACUUUGUCCAGCAUUAAAUGUUGAAAUAAUGACGAGCAAUGAAAAUGCUUGCUCGUUGGUACAUUUGUGAAAAUGAUGCAAAUCGGCUGUUGAGAUUUCAACUUCUAUUUAUUUAUUCCUUUUUAUGUAAUUUCAUUAGAAACUUUAGGUACCAGUUAAGCGCUUAAAAUAACAUAUUUGUGGAAAAUAACUGAUUUUUUUUUUUAGGUUUGUAUGCUCGUUUUAAAUUAUAGCGUGCGCAAAUUGAUUAAUGUCGACAUUUGGGCUCCACCUCGAGCUGGACCUAAUCAUAAAUAAAACUACUGCAGAUUGAAACAUGUUCGAGUGUCUCAAGUUUGACUCUCAGCUACGAUUCAUAAGUACACAGUGACAGGCUUCUGUAAACAGUACAUUCGAUGGAAACUAUUUUUAGUUAGGAAUAUACUUCGCGACUUCCUCUCGACCUCCUUGUGUAAUUUACAACAUCUAUGAGAGGAUAAAGGAUUUGUUACUCAGAGAUGUGACAGUAGAGAAAUUCGAGCUCGUUAUGUCAUUUCCUAAGAAUUUGGUCAAAUAAAAGGAAACAUUUUUACUUACAAGACAAGUUUAGUCACAGGCAUAAUUACUGAAUGAUGUAAUACAUCAUAAAGUGGGUUUUGGCAGUGGCAAGUUUAUUGUUUUACGUGGCUCUUGGUCGUCUUUUGUGGUCGAAUUGUGAUUUUGAGUGUGAUUUAACGUACGAGAAAAACCGGAAAACUCAGAAAAACCUUUGGAGCGAGGAAGCAAACUCACAACAACAAACUCAUUAGCUUGUAUAGCUGGUGGUAUUUUGGAUUCUCGAACCUCUCGUGGCUUCGCCGCUCGAUUUGCAGCUCCGGCACUCAACGCUUCAUAGCGCACACAAAACCGCUAACUAUACGUGGGCUGCAUCAUGAGACAAGGUUCAAACUGUGGCUACAAGAUCCCUUCAAAGCGCACACAAAACUGCUGACAAUACGUAGGCUACAUCAUGAGGCAAGGUUCAAACCUUGGUUUCAAAGAUGGGGGUCGGAACGCUCCCUGCUGGCUGCUGCUAUCCAAUAAAUCACAACUUGCACCCUGGAUCGAAUGGUACAGCUGCCAUGCUUUGUUUCUCACACUAGUUUCCCUUCCACCGAGCAAUGGUUGGGCAAAAAAACACAAUUUUAGUUGAACAUAGAAUGAUAUCAAUAGUCAAAAAUUUAUUAUCUCAAUAGAGCAGUGGUAAAAAGUUUCUUAGAGAUUGGGCGAAUUAGGUUCCCAAAUAUGCAUGUAAAUCGCUUCUUAACCCUCUUUCUUGGCCGAACGUGGCAUUACUUCAUGCAUAAAAAAAGCCUUUUCCUAGAAUAGUGUUUUCUAAGGCGCGAAUCAUUUCCUUAGGCUGCGUUAAAGUUUGCGUUACUUGUCUUACAAAUCGAUGUCAACGAUAUGCUGGGGCAUAAUAGAAAUCUGCCAAAAAUGUGGAAACUGCCACAUUGAGCCCCGACAAUCUUUGAAAAUUGUGGCAGAAAAUUCGUAAAAAUAAAGCGAAUUUUGAAUAACGACCUUCAAAAAUAAGUCCUCGACACCCCUAUUCUCCCUUUCAAAAUCAGAUAUUGCUCAAAUUUGCAAAUUGUUCAUUCAAUUUUGCAAAGAUACAGAGAGAGACAAAAGUCAUAAAUGACUGAAACAUUUUCCAAUCCUACGUAGUGAUCAAGGUUGUGGCUUUUCACCAAGGAAUUCUUGACUGAACAGAAAAGCGUUAAAAUCUGUAGUUGAAGUCCGCACCCUGAGUCAGAAUCGCCGUGAAUGCUACAUGGAACCUAUACCGCUUUCUCUUGGACAGCAGUUAUUAUUACUCCUUAUCAUGUCGGUCUAUCAUGGGCUAUCUUCGCUCUUACGUCUUCCUACGUUUUCCUGGCAAGUUUUUGGUGUCCCUUACAUGAUCCUGGUUAUAGAGAGGCACACGCACUGCGAGAGUUAAGAGGCCCACGAGUCUCACACAAAGAUUACAAACAGGACAAAAUUGACGAUAUCUCGAACGCGCAAACUUUAGGACUAUGCUUACCUAUUGACCAGAUAUAGACAUGCAUAGAAACUUCAAGUAUUCUAUCAGCUAAAUUGGGACUAAAGCUAUUACACGCUGACAAUGUUUAAGAAGGCUAAUAUAGAGUUGUGAAAGAAAUUUCCCGGUUUUCUAGAAUCGAUUUUUAUGGAUUUAGAAUGUUAUUUGGAAAACGUGGUUUUUACAUCAUUGCAAAAAAUAUCUCGGUAAUUUCUUCGAGAUUUUACCGAGGUAUCUGUUUGGAUAAAACCCUCUUUAUGUUGAUAAUCUAAAUGUAUUGAUAAAAUAUGAGCUUCCGAGUAGAUAGAAAAUCAUUAAAAAACAAGUUAUUUAGAAAUAUUUUAACCUAAAUUACUUAAAGUGAUAGUUGUUUUUCAGCUCGCAGUUCUUCAGAGCAUGAAAUUAUAAUAUCAGUUUGUGCCUUUUGUUCGCUUAACGCACCAAAGUCCUUCUAUACCGGAAACCGAACAUUUUAAAAAUGCGUAAGAAAGUUUCCGUUGGAUUCUGGAUUUUUUGCCGAUAGAUACCUUGAAAUUAAAAUUAAAGAGGAAAACUGUCAUAUCGUCAUUGCUCCUGGUAAAUAGAGGAACUUACGACAAAGUGUUCGUGUUGUAAUUUAACUUUCUGUUAAAUACCUAAAAUUCCUCUUGUCUAGUUCAUUGAAAUCUCGACAAUUCGGUUUGGCCAAAGGAAGAGACACUGUGGGAACAUUAAACCAUAAAAAAACGUCAGCAUCAUUUGUUUUAUAAAUAGUGGAGUAGGGUAUUGUUGCACAGAAUUCGCGAGAAUAAUAACAAAACCUCUCAAACAUAACAAUAGUGGAUCCUUGGUAGAUGACUCUCAUUUCAAAGUUAAUGUUUUAGGCAAUUUUGAAAGUCUUAUUACACUUUUGUGACCAACAAAGACCUUGCAUCACGACAUCAAAAUACCGUUGAAAAUUCUUCAAUACAAUAGAUAAAACAGUAACUUAGUUCAAAAAGAAGCCCAAUGAAAGAAGUUUCCCCGUAAAAUCGCAUUAUCAUGUUCAGCCAACGUAGCCAACCCUGAAUUACCAAGAUCAUUUGACUAUCCAUGAUAUGACUUCAAACGCUAUGAAUGAAUCUCGGCUAUGUGGUUGCAGCACAGUAUGCCAUCGGCGUAAAAACGACAGCCAUGGGUUACCGCCAUGAUAAAAGGCUUCCAAAUUGCAUUUUUCGAAUUUUCCAUUCAUCAUUCUUAUAAACGGUUUAUGUCUAGUUGUGAUCCGAAGAGUGUCCUUUUAAGAGUUAAUGUGCAAAUGCAAGUGCCCUUCAGCAGGCGGGAUGUGUAAUUAAGAUAGAAUUGCUAUUUUGUUCAGUAGCCUCUCGACUUAGUGGCUAUCAUUCCGCUUGUCAAAACGCUCGAACUGUUCGUUAUGGGUCAUUAAAUAUUCCUUAACAACCACUCCAUUAUUUGUCUGCAUUUUCUUACUGAGCUGAGCGCCACGGGGUGUAACAAGACUGAAAGAAACAUCACUGUAGGCCCAAGUUUUUAGGACAACUGUUUGUUUAUGUUACAAUCGAGGUUGUUUGGCUAUUCGAGGCGAGAAGUUUAUAGGAGUUUCCAGGCGCCCUGAGGCGUUGUUGUCCAAGAACAGCUUGGAUUCAAAUGAAUGGAUACUUCAAGCUUGCCAUGUCAUUGGAUCAUUCUAUUUCGAGGAAUGGGGGCGUGAUCAUUCCAAUCCAUAUUUGAGUCAUUAACUAAGUAUUUGAUUUAUCUUAUAAGUGAGUAGGUAUAAAAGACCGCUGCAAGAAGCAUCGUGAGACACAUUUGCAUAGACACGCUGAGAGAAAGAUGAAAACAUCAACAGUGCUGACGAUUUCUUUUGUAUUAUUCCUCGUCCUGGCUACCCUCUGCAGAAACAGUGAGGGGUUUGCUUUAUCACUUACUGCAAGAAGAGAUGAACUUAAGAGGGACAAAAAAAAGCAAGCAUCGGAUGGCGUCAGGCUGAGAAGAAAGCUUAAGAGACUGAAGAACAAAGAACUGGAGCUGGAAAGAAAAGUAUCAGAGUUAUCGAAGUGGGUUCAAAAAUACAAAACAACGCACAGAUCUAAGUCGAAACAAGGCAGAUUUUCUGGAGCAGAUUCUUGGUGAAAUUUAUGAACUCAGAGGAUGACAAUGUUUACUCUUGCGAGGAACUGAAAAAUAGAGUGCCAGCUCAAGAAAGAUCUGGAUAAAAUGUUAUUUAUUAGUGGGACGCUUUUCGAAAAAAGGAAGAGUCUUGCAUCAUCAGAAUGUUAUUUAUUUGUACACGGAAAAAGUGAAGUUAUACAAUAAUUAUCUAUUUAUAAUAAAUACAUCUUUUGAUAUUCGUUCAA